UUUAAAAAGAGUUUGAUCCUGGCUCAGAAUGAACGUUGAUGAUUGGCCUAACACAUGCAAAUUAAAUAAAUUUAUUCAAAAUUACAAAUUAAUAGUGAACGGGUGAGUAAAAUAUAGAAAUUGACCUUAGAGAGUUGUUUAAUGCACUCAAAGAUUUUAUCGCUUUAAGAAAAGUCUAUAUAAGAUUAAGUUGUUGGUAUAGUAAAUGUAUACCAAGCUCAUGAUCUUUAGUUGGUCUGUAAGGAUGAGCAACCACAUUGGAAUUGAGAUAUGGUCCAAACUUUAUAAAAGGCAGCAGUGAGGAAUCUUGGGCAAUGAGCGAAAGCUUGACCCAGCCAAGUCAUGUAUGUGAAAAAACUUCUUGCUUUAAAACAUUAAAAUAGAAAAAAUUAUGAUGAAUCUUAAAAAAGUCCUGGCUAAUUUCGUGCCAGCAGCCGCGGUAAGACGGGAAGGGCAAACGUUAUUUAGAUUUAUUAGGCGUAAAGAAUAUGUAGGUGGUAACUUGCCUUUUGGCUAAAAUUUUGAGUCUUAACUUCAAAUAAACCAAAAAAAUGAUUUUCUAGAGUUUAAGAAAAGAUUAUGGAAUUUUGAGUGUAACGGUAAAAUGUUUUGAUAUUUAAAAGAACUUCAAUAGCGAAAGCAAUAAUCUAUAAUAAAACUGACACUGAGAUAUUAAAGCAUGGGUAGCAAAAGGGAUUAGAUACCCCUGUAGUCCAUGCCCUGAACGAUGGGUGUUAAUUCUUGAUCACUCGAGAAUAAAGCUAACGCCUUAAACACCUCGCCUGGGAACUACGAUCGCAAGAUUAAAACUCAAAGGAAUUGACGGGAACCUGCACAAGCAGUGGAGCAUGUGGUUUAAAUCGAUAAUACGCGCGAAAUCUUACCAAUCUUUGUAUAUUAUACAGGUGUUGCAUGGCUGUCGUCAGUCCGUGCUGUGAAGCGUUUGGUUAAUUCCAAUAAACGGACAAAACUCUUAUAUAUUUUCGAAUAUAAACCGUUAAAGAUAUCUUAAAGGAAGGUGAGAAUAACGUCAAGUCUUCAUGACCCUAAUAGAUUGGGCUACUUUCAUGUGCUACAAUAAUUUAUACAAAAAGAAGCAAUAAUGAAAGUUUAAGCAAAACUAUAAAAAUAAGUUAAAUACGGAUUGUUUUCUGUAAUUCGAAAAUAUGAAGUUGGAAUUGCUAGUAAUCGUAAAUCAGAAUGUUACGGUGAAUAAGUUCUCGGGUUUUGUACACACCGCCCGUCACGCUAUGGAAAUUUAUUUUAUUCAAAGAUUAUAUAUUAAUAAACUAAGUUAUAUGAUCCAAAAUAAAAAAAGAACUAGAGUGAAGUCGUAACAAGGUAGCCGUAGGGGAACCUGUGGCUGGAAAAUUUAAAUA
rnacentral:rRNA from 1 species